GACUUGGAACUCUGUUAGACUCAUUUCGGACUUCUGACCUCCAGACGGGUCGUGGAAGCCACUGUUAUUCUUCGCAUCAGGCCACCACUUCGCGUCAUCCUCAGAGCACGAAUUGCUCUGAGCCAUCUCAAAACCCUCCAGUGAACCAGCCAAGGAAGCUGGCAAUAAAGUGGACCUAAGCUGGCCCUCUUCCCUUCACACCUGAGGCAUGCCCUUUCCCAUCUGCG
rnacentral:lncRNA from 1 species